UAAUACGGAGGGUGCAAGCGUUAAUCGGAAUUACUGGGCGUAAAGCGCACGCAGGCGGUUUGUUAAGUCAGAUGUGAAAUCCCCGGGCUCAACCUGGGAACUGCAUUUGAAACUGGCAGGCUAGAGUCUCGUAGAGGGGGGUAGAAUUCCAGGUGUAGCGGUGAAAUGCGUAGAGAUCUGGAGGAAUACCGGUGGCGAAGGCGGCCCCCUGGACGAAGACUGACGCUCAGGUGCGAAAGCGUGGGGAGCAAACAGGAUUAGAUACCCUGGUAGUCCACGCUGUAAACGAUGUCGAUUUGGAGGUUGUGCCCUUGAGACGUGGCUUCCGGAGCUAACGCGUUAAAUCGACCGCCUGGGGAGUACGGCCGCAAGGUUA
rnacentral:rRNA from 1 species